AGUGGCGAACGGGUGAGUAAUGCAUCGGAACGUAUCCUGUAGUGGGGGAUAACCCCGAGAAAUCGGGGCUAAUACCGCGUACGUCCUACGGGAGAAAGCGGGGGAUCGCAAGACCUCGCGCUAUAGGAGCGGCCGAUGUCGGAUUAGCUAGUUGGCGGGGUAAAAGCCCACCAAGGCUACGAUCCGUAGCUGGUCUGAGAGGAUGAUCAGCCACACUGGGACUGAGACACGGCCCAG
rnacentral:rRNA from 1 species